rnacentral:rRNA from 1 species
UACGAAGGGGGCUAGCGUUGCUCGGAAUGACUGGGCGUAAAGGGCGCGUAGGCGGAUGGUACAGUCAGAUGUGAAAUUCCUGGGCUUAACCUGGGGGCUGCAUUUGAUACGUGUUGUCUAGAGUGAGGAAGAGGGUCGUGGAAUUCCCAGUGUAGAGGUGAAAUUCGUAGAUAUUGGGAAGAACACCGGUGGCGAAGGCGGCCACCUGGACGGUAACUGACGCUGAGACGCGAAAGCGUGGGGAGCAAACAGG